rnacentral:misc_RNA from 1 species
UGGCUCUUUGCUUGCGCAACAACUUCCACCUGGCAUACCUCUUCAGUUUUGUGUCAAUGCUUGUAUCGCAUUGAAUGCAUGGUGGGUUUCUUGUGUUGCAUGCCUAAUUGAUGGUAUCGUUUGACGAAUCGAUGUCUAUUUUCGUCUUGUGUUGCACAUGCGAUGCGAGAUGAACCUUAAAGUAGCCUUUGUGAUCCACUCUUUUGAUGCACAUGCAUCGAUUUUGUGGCUCAUUGAGUGUUUGCUUGGUCUCAUGGAUAUGGAACCUUGUGUGGGCAUGUGAUCUUUUAGUAGCUCCUUGUUUGCCCUAGUUAAGCUUUUCAAAUACGAUUUCCUAUCAUGUUCUAACGUGGUAGGCUAUAUCGAAUAUGAAUG